ensembl:misc_RNA Y_RNA Y RNA
GGUUGGUCCCAGUGCAGUGGUGUUUACAACUAAUUGAUCACAACCAGUUACAGAUUCCUUUGUUCCUUCUCCACUCCCACUGUUCCACUUGAUCAGUCUUAA